ensembl:lncRNA
AUGAAAUUGUGUGGCGUAGAGGCAAUGCUUUGUGCCUUCAAGCAAAUCACCUCAUGUCAGCUCAGGGACUGUGCCUGGAACACGUUAUUUGGAAUCAUUCUGUUUGUGUACUCGAACAUCAAACUGACAUUAGGAGCAUCUGUUGUCUUGCAAUGCAAUGGGACGAGACAGAACGAUGGACAGUUCCUCUUUGUCAUUUUGUAUAACAUUAAAGAGUACUUCAGUGACUGCGAGAAACAAUGGCUUGUCAAUGGAACUCUGACAGGUCUUUUUGAGGAAGGAAAUCCAUCUUUCAUCUCUCCUAUUACAAACCUGACCGCAAGCACUGCCACUCUGCAGGCCUGUCCUGAAAAUCUUGAGUGUCUGCUCUCCUGCCCCACUGGCAAAGUAAGUGUGAAAUUGUUUGUGAUAAAUGUUUUAUUGCUUUUAUGUUCUGCUAGGCCAUCAAAUGAAAUGUCAUUGAUAUUUAGUAGCAUAACUGAACUGACAUUGCUUUGCUUUAUGCUUAUUUUUAUUUAUUUUGCAGAUCAAUGAAAAGCAACUGUGCUCUUGUAAGUAACUGAUUUAUACUAUUUUCUAAACAUGACUGCAGAUCUUGACAGAUACUUCUUAUUCUAAGAAUUUUCUGUCUGAAUACAAGAAAAGACGUGUUCCUGUACAGUAGUUUAAAAAGAAGAGUAGGGUGCUAGUGAGAGAAAUGACCAUCUGGCUUUUGUUGUGGCCAGAUGUAGUGAAUGUGUAAAGGAAGUUAUGAGUAAGUGAAAGCAGCAUAUUGAACAGUAUGACUAAGCUCUUUGUAGAUUUGUCUUUCUGCCAAAUUUACACUACAGACUAAACAUAGAUGUUAGUUCUCAUGAUGUGAACUGUAAUAAAUGAGUAUUUAUUAAUUCUGUACA